UACGUAGGGUGCGAGCGUUAAUCGGAAUUACUGGGCGUAAAGCGUGCGCAGGCGGUUUUGUAAGACAGACGUGAAAGCCCCGGGCUUAACCUGGGAACGGCGUUUGUGACUGCAAGACUAGAGUAUGGCAGAGGGGGGUAGAAUUCCACGUGUAGCAGUGAAAUGCGUAGAGAUGUGGAGGAAUACCGAUGGCGAAGGCAGCCCCCUGGGUCAAUACUGACGCUCAUGCACGAAAGCGUGGGGAGCAAACAGG
rnacentral:rRNA from 1 species